rnacentral:lncRNA from 1 species
AUGCCCGGGAAACUCCUCUGAGGAGAGAUCAUGGAGCUUGAGGCACCCUUGGAAGAGUCCAAGAGCCAGAAGAAGGAGAAGUAAAGAAGAAAAGUCAUGCCAAAGAGAAAUGUUUAUGAGUAUGAGAAAAGGUCAAAACGAGUGUCAUCCUCAGAAAACUCUCACAAAUCAAGUGAUAAAGCAGAGGAGAUUCUAAUGCGUGAACAAACGGAAGGAGCCUUCUCCAAUUUCUUCAUUUCAUAAAGCUUCUGAAAGAUCAAGGGGUAACAUAUCUCUUUCCUAUUCAAGUUAAAACCUUUGGUCUUGUAUAUGAAGGAAAGAUUCAAUUGCUCAAGCCCAGGUAGGAACAAGAAAGACAUUCUCUUUUGCCAUAUCCUUGAUUGAAAGGCUCCAAAGAAAUCAAGAAACAAUUUUAAAAAGCUGCUCACCAAAGGUACUCAUUUUGGCACCAACAAAGGAAUUUGCAAAUCAAGUAGCCAAAGAUUUCAAAGAUAUAACUAGAAAACUCAAUGUGGCAUGUUUUUAUGGUGGAACAUCAUAUCAAAGCCAGAUUAAUCAAAUUUGGAAUGGUAUUGACAUCCUUGUUGGGACCCCAGGGCAUAUCAAAGACUAUCUGCAAAGUGACUGUUUUGACCUUUCAAAGCUACGCCAUGUUGUGCUUGAUGAAGUAGAUCAAAUGUUAGAUUUGGGUUUUGCUGAACAAGUCGAAGAUAUUAUUCAUGACACCUACAAAACA